rnacentral:lncRNA from 1 species
UUAAAGAAUCACUGGGUGUUAAAGGCCUUCCGCUGUAUCCAGACCCCUCCAGAGUACCUGGCACAAAGACUCAGAACAACUUAGAAUCUGACUACUUGGCCAGAGAUGGCCCUUCAAGCAACAGCUCAUUCCACAGCAGCGAAGAGGAAGGGACUGACCUUGAAGGAGACAUGCUGGACUGCAGUGGGUCUCGGCCUCUCCUUAUGGAGUCUGAAGAAGAAGAUGAGAGCUGCAGACCCCCCCCGGGGAAGCUGGGAGGAGCCGUUCCAUUCGCUCCACCAGAAGUCUCUCCUGAGCAAGCAAAGACAGUGCAAGGUGGAAGAAAGAACCAGUUUCAAGCCUUCACACAGCCAGCCACUGAUGGGCUCAGUGAGCCAGAUGUUUUUGCCAUAGCUCCCUUCAGGAGCUCAAGGGUUCCAAAUGAUGACAUGGACAUUUUCUCCAAAGCCCCAUUUGUCUCCAAGAGCAGUAUGGCUCCUUCCCAGCCAGAGGAGUCAGACGUGUUUUUGAGAGCUCCUUUCACUAAGAAGAAAAGCAUGGAGGAGUUAACAGUUAUCCAAUGCACCUCCCAGGAGCUGCCUGCACAGACCGGUCUCCUCAGUCAGACAGGUGAUGUCCCCCUGCCCGCGGGCCGUGAGAGAGCUGUGUACACCUCUGUCCAAGCUCAGUAUUCCACAGCUGGUUUUGUGCAACAGUCUAACCUCCUGUCCCAUUCUGUACAAGCAGCAGACCAUCUGGACAGCAUCUCUCCCAGGGGAUCCUGCCUGGAAUCUGGGGGUCAUUCUAAUGACAGAAACAAAGGACCUCAGCUCCAGAAAGAAGCUGUCUCAGGCCCCAUGGCUGGCAAACCAUUCCGCCCCCAGUCCUUAUCCAAGUAUUCCCGUCACUAUAGCCCAGAAGACGAGCCAAGUCCAGAAGCCCAGCCCAUUGCUGCCUACAAAAUUGUUUCACAAACCAACAAGCAGUCGAUAGCUGGGUCUGUUUCUAUCACAUCCCUUUCCUCCAGGACUACGGAGCUGCCAGCUGCUGAUCCAUUUGCUCUAGCACCCUUCCCUUCAAAAUCAGGCAAGAAACCCUAGGAGCAAAACCUGAGCCUCAAGCCUCUUGUCUCUAUCCCACCCUCAAUACCCGCCAUGGCACUCCCAGCUUAGCCUUCUGAAGAAGAAAUAUUAUCAGUUCUUAUAUUUCAAUUCCCUGCGUCAGAGCAGAAUUUCUUGAGUCAACAAACUCAGUUGCAGUGAUAUUUAGUUGAAGCCCCUUUAAGUUAUGUUCAUUUUUGUUUGUUUGUUUGUUUGUUUAUAUUGAUUUCUGGACUUGGAGGCAUUUUCAUCUCCUUCACAGAGGUCAUCCACUUCCACCAAGAACUCUGCUUUCCCCCCGCCCCACCCACAGAAACUGUUUAAAUCCUGAAAUACUUCUUCACCCCAAUCCCAAAGGGGCCCUAUUGUUGCUAGUUUUAAUUCCUGUAGCUCCUGUUCUAAGUCAUGCCCAUCGAAGAAUCAAGAUUAGUCCCUCCACUAAAUCAAGAUUUAGUACUCUUGAAAAGGGGAGAUGUCUGGAAAGAAGAGCAAGAUAAAAACCCUGCACAUCAACAGGAAGUAUAAUCCUGCAGUUACUAAUAAUUCCUGUAGAAGCAGCAGCUCUAGGAGUCUCCAGAUCUGAUUCUCAGUCUGUGUGCAAGCCAGGCUGGCUCUCGUGCAUGACUGUCUAUGGGUGUGGAAUGUACGUCAGAGCCUGUGUAGAGAUACAGGCAGAUGGGCUAACUCCUCAUGUCUAGUCAUGCUGGCAGGGCUUUCCCCACAUCCAUGCUUUUGAAAUUAGUGUGAGUGUACAGGUUUGUGUGUGCAUGUAUACGUGUGUGUGCACAGGAAGCAUUUCCACUUGAGGGAAAUCCUGCCCCAUCAUGCCUACCUCCACAAUGAAAUCACUCGUUUUUUGGUGUUUGCUCGCCUAACUGACUUGAACCCCAUUUUAUUUAUUUAGUUUUUUUCUCAUGGCAAAGUAGAAUACGUUGGAAGGUGUAGGGAAAUCCUGCUGGAACUGGUGUUUCAGAGUAAAUCUUUUUUCUCUCCGGAAUUUCUUGUUUUGCUAUUAACAAAUUAUAUUUACCUGAUUAUGAAAAAUUAAUUUUCCUUAUACAUUUUCCCCUUACAACACUAGAAAAGAGCACCUUGUUACAGUUCCGGCCUCUCAGUAUGUGGGCUAAAUGCCAGCAUUAGGGAAUUCAUUAAUCAUGAGACUAGGCUACAAACUAGGCUUGCUUGUUUUGGGGUGGUUUUGUUGUUGUUGUUGUUGUUGUUGUUGUUGUUUCCAAAUCUCUACUGCCUUUUGAGGAAAUGUAAAUCUGAGACAUGGAAAUAAGUGUUUGGGAGAAUGGAAAAGAGCUGAAUCAGGUAGGCAUGAAAACUUUUACAUUCUCUAUCCUCUUUAGAUGUUGAAAUAGGCCAGACAGGUUAACUGAUGUUUUUUAAAAUUGUCUUUUAUUUCUGGAAAGAUCUGACUUAUUCCUAGCUUUUUUCAUACCCUUUAUUAUUAGUGCCUUAAAAUAAAGCUGGCCAGGUGCAGUGCCACACACCUGUAAUACCAGCAUUUUGGAAGGCUGAGGCAGGAGGAUCAGUUGAGCCCAGGAAGUUCAAGACCAACUCUGGCAACACAGCGAGACCCUGUCCCUUCAAAAAAUAAAUAAAAAAAUAGGCUGGGCAUGGUGGCUCACACCUGUAAUCCCAGCACUUUGGGAGGCCAAGGUGGGCAGAUCACAAGGUCAGGAGUUUGAGACCAGCCUGGCCAACAUGGUGAAACCCCAUCUCUACUAAAAAUACAAAAAAUUAGCUGGACGUGGUGGUGCACACCUGUAGUCCCAGCUACUCAGGAGGCUGAGGCAGGAGAAUCGCUUGAACCCGGGAGGCAGAGGUUGCAGUGAGCAGAGAUUGCGCCACUGCACUCUGGCCUGGGCGACAGAGCGAGUCUAAAAAAUAAAAUUAAAUAAAAUAAUGAAAAAAAUUAGCUGGGUAUGGUGACAUAUGCCUGUAGCUACUCAGGAGGCUGAGCUGGAAGGAUCACUUGAGCCCAGGAGUUUGAGGCUGCAGUGAGUUGUGAGUCCAGCCUGGGUGACAGAGUGAGACACUGUCUCCAAAAAUAUAAUAAUAAAAAUAAAGCCUGUAUCUCAAUGGGAAGAUUUCUGCUAAGGCAGUUCAACUCACUGGAAAGAACUGCUGCAUUAGGUUUCAACUUUAAUGCUUUCUGUUACUUCUAGUAAAGGUUAAGUGAUUUUUCCAUUAGCUGUAGAAGUUUGGAGAGCUAUUUACCAAGCCAGAUCAAUGAUUUAAAAAUUAUUGGAAAUUCAUCUAAGAAUCAAGUCUGAAUGCCCAAUUCUAUUGCGGUUGAUUAGGUGUGAUAUUCUUUAAAGUUCAGGAAUAUUGGCAGUAAAAAAUGAGCAGCUACUUUUCAAUACUUUGUCCUUUUUUGGUGGUCUCUGCCUAUUUCAAAUGUCCUGAUCAAAAGAUAAAUAAUUGGCACUGUGCCAAGGUUUGGUUUUCCAACUAAGGUUUCAACUGUGCCAGAAACCUAUGUCCUUCACUUUGGUGGAUGCUAAAUGUUAUUCUAAGAAUAUGCUUUUUCCCAAUUCUCCUUUCUGAUUUUUAUGUAUUAGUGGAUGCAAAAUUGUCUUUCUAGUUGAAUGAAUAAUUUCGGCUAAUGCACGUGGAACUUUGCACCCCAGAUUCUUCCCAUGGUCAUUAUCAAGUGAAGCCCUCAAAAACAUGAGCGAAGAGCCUAGAAAUACUCAGGGAGAUUUCUCACCCCAACUCAGAAAUUUUUUUUUUUUUUUUCAAGACGGCGUCUUGCUCUGUCGCUCAGGCGGGAGUGCAGUGGUGUGAUCUCGGCUCACUGCAACCUCCAUUUUCCGAGUUCAAGCGAUUCUGCCUCAGCCUCCCGAGUAGCUGGGAUUAUAGGCACACACCACCGCGCCUGGCUAAUUUUUGUAUUCUUAGUAGAGAUGGGGUUUCACCAUGUUGGCCAGGUUGGUCUUGAACUCUUGACCUUGUGAUCCACCCACCUUGGCUUCCCAAAGUGCUAGGAUUACAGGCGUGAGCCACCGCACCUGGCCCAGAAAUUCUUUUUUUUUUUUUAAAUUAUUAUUAUACUUUAAGUUUUAGGGUACAUGUGCACAAUGUGCAGGUUAGUUACAUAUGUAUACAUGUGCCAUGCUCGUGUGCUGCACCCACUAACUCGUCAUUUAGCAUUAGGUAUAUCUCCUAAUGCUAUCCCGCCCCCCUCCCCCCACCCCACAACAGUCCCCAGAGUGUGAUGUUCCCCUUACUGUGUCCAUGUGUUCUCUUUGUUCAAUUCCCACCUAUGAGUGAGAACAUGCGGUGUUUGGUUCAGAAAUUCUUAAAGUAAGAGAUCAUUCUAAUUCCCCUUUCCAAAUAUUCAGGAUUAUCUCUGUAACAGCCCAGCAAAAUGUUUUUCCUUUGGUUAUUUGAUAAUUCCCUUCUAAUCAAGUGACUAUUUUAAUUCUCAAGGUGCAAAUCAGGAUAAAAUCAUGGUGAUUUUACUACAUAGUUGAAUACUUCGUCAAGUAUGAGCUUGUAUCCUUUUUAAAUUUUUCACUGGAGGCCAGGCGCGGUGGCUCACGCUUGUAAUCCCAGCACUUUGGGAGGCCGAGGUGGGUGGAUCACUUGAGGGUAGGAGUUUGAGACCAGCCUGGCCAACAUGGUGAAACCCUGUCUCUACCAAAAAUACAAAAAGUAGCUGGGCGUGAUGGCACGCACCUGUAGUCCCAGUUACUAGGGAGGCUGAGGCAGAAUUGCUUGACCCAGGGAGGCAGACUUUGCAGUGAGCCAAGAUUGUGUCAUUGCACUCCAGCCUGGGCGAGAAGAGCAAAACUCCGCCUCAAAAAAAAAAAAAAAAUUGUCACUGGAGACAUGAUGGGUGGAGACUCUACAUACCUUCUUUGAAUACAGAAACGGAUGCAAACACAUGCAAAUUACUUUUUUUUUUUUUUUUGGUGAUGCAUGAAAAAACUUUGACUUGUGGAUUACAUUAAUUAUUAGUAACAGUUAGAUUCUGCCGACUUGUAUUACAGUAGGGUCUUAUUUCCUUAAAGAGAAAAAAAAAUACAGUCAUGCCCCACUUAAUGAUGAGGGAGACAUUCAGAGAAAUGCAUCCUUAGGUGAUUUUGUCAUUGUGUGAACAUCACAGAGUGUACUUAACACAAACCUAGAUGGCACGGCCUACUACCUACCUAGGCUAUAUGGUCCAGCCUGUUGCUCCUGGGCUACAAACCUGUACAGCAUGUUACUGUACUGAAUACUGUAGGCAGUUGUAACACAAUGGUAAGUAUUUCUGUAUCCAAACAUUUUAGACAUAGAAAAGGUACAGUAAAAAUAUGGUAUAAUCUUAUGGGACCAUCAUGGUAUAUGUGGUCCAUCAUUGAUGGAAUCGUUUUUAUGCAGCACAUGACUGUAUAUAAUCAACAAACAACUCUACUUUCUUGUUUUCGUUUGUUGUGUUUUUGCUUUACACAUUUGAUAGGGAACAUAGAAGUUGUGACCUUUCAUUUCAGUGGAAAGCAUUGAGCCAGAAUAUAUUUAUUCCUAAACCAUCGAGCCACACAUGCAUUGAUGAACCCUGAAAGAAUCCACAGUAAUUGACUAACAGGCAGUACUGAAUGAAAGAUGUCAUAUGUGGUGAAAAAUAUUUAAUAUAUCAGUUUCUUGGGCUCACAUACAGCCCUUUAGUUCCAAGUGCUUGGUUAGAUUAGAAAAUGGGAUGAACACAAUUUGAUGCUGAAGCAGCUGCUGAGCAGCACCCAGGGAGUCUAGGUCAUACGCCCUAUAUUGUUUUCGGCCCACUUAUUGUUGAGUUGAAAAGUCUCAUAUUUGUAGACUAGAGUGUAUGUGUUUAGAGGCUCAUGUUGUAUCUGAGUUUUCUCUGGCAACUAAGAUCUCUUUCUAAACGUUCUAGAAAGAUACUGGUAUCUUACUGGCCCAUUAUUUAGUAAGUUUUAGAAUACAUGUACAUCAGUGUUUUCAACUGCUUGGUGGACAUUUCACUGAUGCAUAAUCAAAGUAGCAGAUUAUAAUCAUCAGAGUGAUCUGACAAGGAAAUUCUGUAUUUGCUUCCAUAAAGAAAAAUAAUCAAAACAUAUAUCAGAUAUAAUAUAUAUGCAGUAUAUCACAUAGGAAAUUUUAUUGUAGGAAAUUAGAGAAGGAUGCUACUCAAUUCAUUCUCUAGCAGGAAGAAUACAGCUUAAAAAUCACUUGGGUCCCUUUAAUAAAGAAAAGUGUGAUUCUGUGUUGUGUGUUUGGAACUGAAAUUGGAGAACACGUGCCAGUCGACUGUGAAAUGGUUGCUGGAUAAAACCACAGAUGUGGUUUUAUCCGAGAAAUGUGGGACUGAAAUUAUUUUGAUGAGAGGUACAUAAGAGAGCUGCAGAAAAGACUGUAGCUUCUGAGGAGGCAGGAGUACCUUGUUAAUAUCCAAACCACCCCUGAGUUCUAAUGUUCCAACUCCACCUAAACGAGGAAUUGGAAACUUUAAAUGGAAUUAUCUAAUUUAAAUUCUUAGUUUUUUCUUUGUCUUUCUCAGCUGAUACUUGUAGUUUUGUUUUGUUUUUUAACCACCAAGAACACUUGCAAGUUUGUUACUGAAAACAUCACUAAAGGAAAAGAAGAGUUUCAAAAUGCUUGAAAAGUAGUAUGUGGUUGGGAAUUGUUUUUGUUCAAGUCCCUGGAAGUCCUCUUGGCUUAGCUCCCUUGUUCCUGUUCCCACUUCAUUUCCUUACUUAACAUUCCCCUAUUUUGAGCAUGUCAAUAAGUGCAUGAUGAAUGGCACAGUUGAAUGAUCAUGUUAACUUUAAUUGCUUCCUUUGUUGCUGUAAACAGUUUCUUGUUAAGUUUCAGCCAAGUCUGUGACAAUCUCACCAAAUAAGAAUGAAAUGGGCGGGGUGUGGUGGCUCACACUUGGAAUCCCAGCACUCUGGGAGGCUGUGUUGGGCCGAUCGCUUGAGCUCAUGAGUUCAAGACCAACCUGGGCAACAUGGCAAAACCUUGUCUCUACAAAAAAUACAAAAAUUAGCCAGGCAUGGUGGUGCACACCUGUAGUCCCAGCUACUUGGGAGGCUUAGGUGGGAGGAUGGCUUGAGCACGGGAGGCAGAGGUUGCACUAAGCCAAGAUCGUGUCACUGCACUCCAGCCCAGGCAAUAGAGCCAGACCCUGUCUCAAAAAAACAAAACAAACAAAACAUGAAUGAAUGAAAUGGCUCACCUUCCCUAUUAUGAACUAGAAGAAAGGAUGAAGGAAGGUUGGCAGGACCCCAGCCUUACUCUGUAGUGACAACCCAGAGGUACUUUUCCCGGAAUGCAGGGUCAAGUUUAUGUGUGAAGGGACUCUAGAAUAGCUGGUAAAAAUGGCUACAUGGUAACCAUUCUUGACUUAGUCCAGUAUUCCCAUAAUUUGUAAUUCCAUAAAUUUAUUCUCAGCUGUCCCCCAGCCAUUUCUAAUAGAAGGAUGUGUACCCCAGUUUUGACAAUGUUCUUGAAAUCAAGUUAGUGUUACCUGCAUUGCAUUAUAAUGGAACUAUAUGUACAUGUUAAAGGGAUCCGUUUGAUUCCUUUCGGCAAGGAAUUGCAAAAAUAGUUUUUACCAAUACCAGUUAAAAUAGGAUAGGUUAGACUUUGGGGGCAGGGUGAGACAGUGCAGCCUUUUCACUCUGAAAUGGCAAAUCAGCUGUACUCUUUGAGUCUACCAGAGAUUCCUAUUUGAGUGUGAAUGGGGUGUGUGUGUGUGUGUGUGUGCUCAUUCAUCUUCAUGCUUUCUUCCAUGGUGUUAAUUCAAGCUCUCCUAAUAAAGGUAUCCAAAGAGUACUGAGAAGUGACCAUAGGUAUUUGGCAUGAGUAAAUGUAGUUCCUUUUGCCAAAAAAACUCUCAAAAGUUACAACUGGAGUUCUUCGCGAUAAAAGGUUGGGGAAAUCAGCCAUGGCUUUAGCCUUGUUCCCAAGUACACAUCUUCUUAUCCACAAGGAUGAAACUCUGUAGGGCUCACCCUGAGGGCUCAUGUGUGGCAUUGAGAGGGUAGCAGUGACCAGAACACCACAAGGCCCACAAGAUGUUUUGAAUGAGGGAACAUUUAAUGUCAUUUGUUAGGAGAUAGAAACCAAAUAAUAAAGGACAAGGACCACGCUCAUUCCGUGGAGAAGAGGUGAACUCCCUCUGCUGACUAUUUGGAAUGGACUGAAUGAGGAGGUCUCUCCAGCCAGAAGGAGUAUUGAGGUCAUCAGGCCUCAGAAAACAAUGUACACAUAAUCUCGGGCUGUGAACAAGAGAAAGGAGGGGGGGAAACAUGAAAGUCAAUCUUAACAAUUUUUGCAAUACCUCUUAUUUGCAGACCAUUGGAUUUAUGUUAUUGCACUCUCGGUGUGAUUUAUCGUAUGUAUCUGAUAGGUUUUAUGAAUUGUUUUGAGUUGUAAACUCCUAUACCCUUUAUUAAAAUGGACCUAAUUAAGUGA